rnacentral:lncRNA from 1 species
UUUCCGCGAAUUCCGAACAGCUAGAAAUAUAUUCCCGAGUUUCAAUUUGAGUAGCUCGAAUAAUUCAAGCCCUUUCCAUGUCCGAUUUUCUCCCACACGAGAAAUGGAGUAUUCGUACAUUAGCUGAAUAUUACGACUGAAUUAUUCGGGUUACAAUUUGUGUAAAUCCCGAAUGCACAUAAAAGUAAAGGUCCAGCCCUACUUUCGGGAAAGGACUGUUGUAGAUUUCAGAUUGAUUUCCAGAAAUAAAAAUCAUACAAAAAUGUUUCACGCAAAUAUUCGUCUUCAGACGUGUAAAGUUAUACAACGGUUACUAGCCGGUCUGAAUUGUGAUAAAAAGAAGCGCAUGCAAUGCAUAAAAUAUAUAAUGUCGUGGCUCAGCGAUGUGUUGAAUUAUAGAGAUGCUUAUGCGGCACAAAGAUAAGAUUAAUUUUCCAAAUGUACUAAGAAUUACCACACAACUUAAAUUUGCUUAAAU